AAAAAUAAAAAUAUAUGAUUUAUUAGUAAAGAUUUAUCUCAAAAAUAACUUUAUAUAUUGGAAAAUGCACAUUCAUUUAAACAUUAAUUCAUAUAAUCUACUGAUCUCUGCUAUUUUUAAGAAGUUUGAUAUAAAGAUAAUAUUCAUUGGUAUAAUAUUAACAACUUAUUUCAAAGUGAUUAUUCACUUCACUUAUGUUAAUUAUAGUUUGAUAAUUUGAAAAAUUAAAAAAAAUUCAAAUAUUCAAAUUUAUUUUGUUUUUAUAAUUUUUUUUUAUUAUUAUUAGCAUAACUCAAUAGAUAUGUAGGACUUAAAGUUCAUUUUAGCUGUGCUUGAAUAUUGUGACAUCUGUGGUUGAGACCAUUAUUAAGAGCAGUGUUAGACUAUUACAUUUUGACAUUGUUGUUAGGCUUAACAGUGAUUGGUGGAAGACAAUUUGUUCACACUAUUGUAUUAGAGUAGCAUUGCAUCUUUAGGUCUUCCUGUUUUUCUGAUUCUGUUUUCUAGAUUUCAUUUGUACCCACAUAUUCAACAAUUAAAUUUAUAAUUAUUUUUUCUUCCUUUCCAACUGUAUUAACUGCAUAACUGAUCAUCAUAAGCAUUGGAUGCUGUUUCUGUCAAGCUAUAGAUACUACUUUCAUCAAAAAAGUCAAAAAAGUGAUUGUGAAGAUAAUGUUUUUUUUAUCUUGUCUUCACAAUCACUUUUUUUAAUACAUAGUUCUUAUCAUUGCUGUUUUCUAAACCAUAUUAGAGAUCUUUCAGUCAAACUCUUAUCUGUAACCAUUUUUCAAACUCUAAUAGUAAGACUAUUAUAUCACAAUAGAAAUUAUCUUAUCUUUUCUUUUUAUUAGUACUAAAAAAUAAGUUGUAUAUGUAAAACAACACAAAUCCUGAAACAUAUUGGAAAAGAAUUACAAUACCAAUAACAUCAACUGCACAUCCACAAAUGCCAAUAAGUAUUGAUAAAAUGAACAAAAGCAUAAUGGCUUACUCAUUAAUCACAUCACAUACAAGUUUUAACAGGUUCAAACCUGCAAACUGGUAUUAACUUCUCUGGUAGCAAUUCAUAGCAAUCCAGAUGUCUGGUGAUCUAACAGACAUAUCUAGAUUGCUAUGUCAUUUUUCAAAAAAUUAUUAAAAUAAAAAAAAUAAUAUUCUUUUAUAAAAUUUGGUAAGAUUAUUUUGGAAAUCAAAGAAAGGAAAUAGAAUAUAGAUAUAUUGAUUUCUUAAUAAAAUAAAUACUUUUGAUUCUAUAUGCAAAUCAGUUUGAAAAAUGUGCCUGUCUACUGAGCUAUUAAAAGUUAAGAUAAUUCUGUUCAAUAUCAGCUUUUUUCUUACAUAAAUUAUUUGUUAUUCAG
rnacentral:lncRNA from 1 species